rnacentral:rRNA from 1 species
GGUGAACGCUGGCGGCGUGCCUAAUACAUGCAAGUCGAGCGAACGGACGAGAAGCUUGCUUCUCUGAUGUUAGCGGCGGACGGGUGAGUAACACGUGGAUAACCUACCUAUAAGACUGGGAUAACUUCGGGAAACCGGAGCUAAUACCGGAUAAUAUUUUGAACCGCAUGGUUCAAAAGUGAAAGACGGUCUUGCUGUCACUUAUAGAUGGAUCCGCGCUGCAUUAGCUAGUUGGUAAGGUAACGGCUUACCAAGGCAACGAUGCAUAGCCGACCUGAGAGGGUGAUCGGCCACACUGGAACUGAGACACGGUCCAGACUCCUACGGGAGGCAGCAGUAGGGAAUCUUCCGCAAUGGGCGAAAGCCUGACGGAGCAACGCCGCGUGAGUGAUGAAGGUCUUCGGAUCGUAAAACUCUGUUAUUAGGGAAGAACAUAUGUGUAAGUAACUGUGCACAUCUUGACNGUACCUAAUCAGAAAGCCACGGCUAACUACGUGCCAGCAGCCGCGGUAAUACGUAGGUGGCAAGCGUUAUCCGGAAUUAUUGNNGCGUAAGCGCGCGUAGCGGUUUUUUAGUCUGAUGUGAAAGCCCACGGCUCAACCGUGGAGGGUCAUUGGAAACUGGAAAACUUGAGUGCAGAAGAGGAAAGUGGAAUUCCAUGUGUAGCGGUGAAAUGCGCAGAGAUAUGGAGGAACACCAGUGGCGAAGGCGACUUUCUGGUCUGUAACUGACGCUGAUGUGCGAAAGCGUGGGGAUCAAACAGGAUUAGAUACCCUGGUAGUCCACGCCGUAAACGAUGAGUGCUAAGUGUUAGGGGGUUUCCGCCCCUUAGUGCUGCAGCUAACGCAUUAAGCACUCCGCCUGGGGAGUACGACCGCAAGGUUGAAACUCAAAGGAAUUGACGGGGACCCGCACAAGCGGUGGAGCAUGUGGUUUAAUUCGAAGCAACGCGAAGAACCUUACCAAAUCUUGACAUCCUUUGACAACUCUAGAGAUAGAGCCUUCCCCUUCGGGGGACAAAGUGACAGGUGGUGCAUGGUUGUCGUCAGCUCGUGUCGUGAGAUGUUGGGUUAAGUCCCGCAACGAGCGCAACCCUUAAGCUUAGUUGCCAUCAUUAAGUUGGGCACUCUAAGUUGACUGCCGGUGACAAACCGGAGGAAGGUGGGGAUGACGUCAAAUCAUCAUGCCCCUUAUGAUUUGGGCUACACACGUGCUACAAUGGACAAUACAAAGGGCAGCGAAACCGCGAGGUCAAGCAAAUCCCAUAAAGUUGUUCUCAGUUCGGAUUGUAGUCUGCAACUCGACUACAUGAAGCUGGAAUCGCUAGUAAUCGUAGAUCAGCAUGCUACGGUGAAUACGUUCCCGGGUCU